AAUCAAGCUCAGAUUUGAAUUCCGACCAAUCAGCGAUUCGAACUCCGCCCACUGCACCUGAUUGGUUGACAAGUGGGCGGAGCGAAUCGAUGAUUGGUCGGGGGUUCUCAUUUUGGAGGGAAUU
rnacentral:precursor_RNA from 15 species